UGUGUGUGUGUUGAUCUCCAGGCGACCAAACAAGGGGAAACCCUAGUUCUUCCUUAAAUCACCAAAUUGGAAGGGAAAUCGAAGCUUAAAUUCAUGAAUAAACGCGUAUAAACGAUCACCAAGUCAUGGAGAUCACAAGUUUGAUCUCGUCAAGCUAAGUUGGAGCUGGAAAGGAAUGGAUCAAACGGGUCAAGUGCGCAAGGAAAGCUCGAACGGACGCAAACUGAACGAAUAGCAAUUUGGAUAAUUGCGUCAUCAUAGAAUAUUGAAUUAAUAAUAGCAAGGUAUAAACGGGUCUAUACGUUGACUCGAGCCAGGUACGCUUAUAUAUAGAUUUAUAGUUAAAAGUGUUUAACUUCCCUUAACGGGUCAAAAGGAGUAGAUAGGUAAAACGGGUUAAGAAUUCAUAAGAAACUCGUAAUUUGAACCUUGCACAUUAGUAACUUGAUAUAAUGUGAUAUGCAUGAUAUUUUGAAAAGGUAAUAAACAAGUUUGUUUGAUAAAUCACGAACGAGUCAAAAAGUGUCAUAAAUUGAAUUUCAAGCCGAGAGCUUGAAAGUUAAAAUUUUGUGAAUUUAGAUUUCGGGGUUUCACUCCGUAAGAUGGAGAAUUAAAUUACGAAUGCGUAGGAAAAAGAAUCGCGAAAAACAGACUUGUAGAAGGAAAGUUAUGCACCUUAGAAGUUGAAAAAUUGAAAGAAAAUAGUGCUGGGCAAAAGUGCAGGAUUUUAACCUGCACCCGCUGGAAAACGGUCUUCCCCGCGACACGCGAAGGGAGUCACUUGUUCUGGCGCGACACGCCGGCACGCUCGCGGCCCGCGAAGGAUUGAAAGGAAUCUGUCGUGUGGCGUGAUAGAUCAAAAAUCUGAAAUUUUAUUUUUUUUGUUAUUUGUAUGAUACCGGAACUUGUUUUUACAUGUUAUAAAGUAGUCAAAACUAACAAUUGAUGUGGUUUUGACCUUAGGUGAUGUUCGUCUCAUUUCGGACGCCGAUCAAGCAAGAAUUCAAGAACCGAACACAAAGUUUUGAAGCUUUCGCACUAAUCUAAUCUUGUUUUAGACAAUGUUUAUUUGUAAACACUAAACUCAAUGUUGUAUGUUUUAACUAGUUAGUUUGUAAACUAGAAUACCAUAACCUUGUAAACUUAGUUUUUAUAACUAUGUUUUGAAAUGAUGCAUUUUGAAAUUAAAAAGAAAAAAA